UCCUGUUACAGAAGCCACAGCCAUCCGUCAAAUGGCAAUUAUCACCUCUCAGUAACGAAAAUGUAGUAACGGUCCCUGGUCUUUGGGAAAUCACGAAGCUUGCUUUCAUCCCACACUCCAGUGACAUAGGGCUUAAGUCACAGUAGUCACUGUCCAGCCUACAAUUGGUCACAAUAGAAUAAACAGACUGAGAGCCGAGCUUGGGAAGCUCUGGUCCUCCUCCAAGUGGGCCUUAGAGGCCUGGCUUCGACCUUCCUCUUCCAUUCAGGGGUAUGGAAAACUCUCCUCUCUCCCCACUUCUGACAAAGCCAGCAUUACCCGGAGACUUGAUUCAAACCUCUCAGCAGAUAUUCAAGCAUGGACCACUCUGAAGAAAUAGAGGAGGCCCUCUGUUCAGGCUCCUCACCUUCCACCCUAGCAUCCAGCCAUUACAGCAAGUGGCUCUGACAUCCCAAAGACAAUCCUGAGAGCCUUCUGCAGUUCCUGCUCCCUUUCUCAGUCAGUGGCAGACCCCCUCUGUCUCCGAGUGAGUAUCUUCCUCCUCUUUUGAAGCUCACCAGGGUGGAGGAUGCAGAACAGAGCCCUUCUUAAGGACCUCAGCUGGGGUCUUACUCUCUUCCUAUGAAGCAGCUUCACAGCAUACAGGAAUGAAGUUAGCAGGGAGAUUCUGAAGACUCAGCCAAUACCGCAUACCAGCUUUCUUCCAAUUCCAAAUGCUCAGAGAAGCAGACCUGAUGCCACAUGUACUCUGCAUCAGACUCCUGGAUCACAUCAUUUCACCUCUGAAGCCAGCGAUUUUUCCAUGCACCCCACGUGGCCGUUGGGACCAUAGCUCUCCUGUGUCCCUUCCAAGUCUUGCACAUUUCUGUGAUAGGUCACAUAUGGAGAGACCACCUUCUGCAUAGUGUCGGUCAGCUCGGUCACUUCCCGCAAACUGACUCUGACUGGACUCAGCUGGCGGCUGACAGGGCUGCUGUCAAGUGGCUCUGUCACUUCCAUCAGGGGCUGAUGGGUAGUCUUUGGGAUAGUGAGCUCUACCAGUCCUGUCACACGGGAGGUGGGUUACUUCCCUCAGUCAUUUGAUAUGUUAUGUAGGGUUUCCGUAGCUUGUGUGUCAGAUACAGCCCCAAAUCACAGGCGUCAACCCAGCAGAGGCCCGUUUCUUACUUUUUUGGU